UCUUUGGGCCGCUCCCGCGGCAUAUGGAGGUUCCCAGGCUAGGGGUCGAAUCGGAGCUGUGGCCAGCGGCCUACGCCAGAGCCAUAGCAACGCGGGAUCCGAGCCGCGUCUGCAACCUACACCACAGCUCACGGCAAUGCCGGAUCGUUAACCCACUGAGCAAGGGCAGGGACCGAACCCGCAACCUCAUGGUUCCUAGUCGGAUUCGUUAACCACUGCGCCACAACGGGAACUCCUAAAAUAUUGUUUCUUUAAGGAAAACAUAAGGAGGCACUUUUUCCAAAAAGAAAUUGGUGCUCCAGAUUAUACUUUCAUAAAGCCUCCUGUUGAUUAUUGGGAAGGGACAUACCUUGUGCACCUGAUCUUAACAAGCUCUAAAUCUAGAUUGUGUGGUUCAGCGUCUGCCUGAGAGAGCUCAGUCCAAUACUGGAGCAAAUUCACUAACCUUAAUCCUUCUGGCCACAACCCUCUCCCACCUCUCUGUGCAUUCUCCCCAUUGUCCUGUCCUUUUCUACAGCCUCCAGUCCCCAGUAGGGGACCACAGGGAAUUGCAGAUAAGCACAGUGCACUGUUCCUGUUUUGUGUGCAACUUCCCUUUGCAUUUUCCCUACUCUGGUAAGCAGCGCUCAUCAAUCAGUCCUGCAGCUCUGCCACUGAGAAUUCCUCCUGAGGAGCCAAGCUUUCUUUAGUCAUAGCCACUUGUACAAGAAGAGAUGUUUUCUCCCAAGAGUUGUUUGAUAUGCAGUACAGUCAUUCUUUCUGUUCUGAAAAGCUUACCCUGAAUAGGAUGGUAUAAUUCCAGGAUGCUCAGAACCAUAAUACCUUGAGUUUUGUCUUUCCAAAACAAAUUUUAUGUUUUUGAAAGGGACCAAGGUGGAUGAGCGGCAAGCAGUAGAGACUACAGGCUUAUCUGUGUGGAAUUGUUGUUCUAGAAAAGAGUCACAUAAUCUUCCCUGUGCUGUACCUACUAAAUCUUCCAAAGGGUUAGGAAAACAAUAUUUCAUCUGUUUUUGACUUUCUGAUAAGACCAAACAGCAUAUCAAAUGGAACUAAUCUUACAGUUUCUUUAGAGAAGCAUUUUCCAAAUUAGUGGUUACUGAAUAUUUUUUCCUGUGUGAUGUUAAUAUGUUUUCCUGAAGACUAGAAAGGUUUCCAUGAUCAAACACAUUUUUAAAAUUUGAGUCAAAUAAAAAUAAAUUGACUUCCUUCCUGCUAGCGCUGUGAAGAAUUUUUAAUAAGGCUAAUGUGUUCUUUUUUAACUUCUCAGAUGCAGGAGUGCUGGAGGUCUUCACUCUGGAAUGAAUACUUACAUCACAAGAAGCUCGUGUUCUGUGAAAGAGUUUGUAAACUCUGUUGUAAUAAGGGCUUAGACUCAUACCCUUUAAUCUAAUGUAAUAGUGAAGGGGGAAGAGUUUGGACAAAUAAGAGUAGAUUCUAGUUGUAGGCGCUCCACUUCAUUCAUAAAGUAAGGACGAUAAUACUUGCUACAAAUAACAUUGUAAAAAUUAAAUGGAAUAGUAUAUGUAUACUAGUUGAUAAAAUCCUAGGCACUUAGUAAACCUUCAGUAAAUGUUAGCUAUUAUUAUACAUAGAAAAAAAGUAGUCACUUUUUUCCAACAAGAAGCAGGUCUUUCUUUAAUCGACAGUAAUAAUUUAAUAGAAGUCCAUCAUCCUGCAUGAUCCAAGUAGGAUGGAAUUAUAUUCAAUAUUCAGUGCAUUUGUAGUGGUUAGCACACUUUGUGGCAUUUUAUUCAUUGAUGGAUAGGAGGAAAAAAACAUCUACUGAGAGUUUAUUUAGUAUUCACAUCAGUCUUACGGGAAAAAUUAUCCAGCCCCACUUCACUGGUGAGUCAGCUUAAGCAAGAUGCCCAAGUUCAUACAAAGCAUAUUAAGUGGCAGAGAGGUAGGAUUCAAACUCAGGUCCCCCGACUCCAAAGCCAAUGUUCUCUCUACCUACUAUGCAAUACUGCCUUCUGUGACAAUUAAUUAUUCAUUCUGACAUGUACAUGGUAGUUCUCUGCUGACUAAGAUUAGCCUAUUCCUCAUUCAUUUCAGGUAAAUGACUCAUCUCCUAUAUCUCAAUACAGUGGUCCUAAUCCUGUUUCAUCCCAAUGAUGUUUCAUGGUCUCUUUUUCAGAAUUUCUCACAUAUUCUGGUAAAAUAAGGAUGGAUCAUUUAAUUGAACACACAGCUACAUCUUGUCCAAAGCCUCUUGACUUUGUGGUGAGGAGUACAUCUCAGGGGAAAAGAUGUCAGGUAGCAGGAGGAACACUGGCUUAGGCUUGGCUGUGACUCCCGGUCCUCCCUACGCUAUAAGGAGGUUGUGCAUGACCUCAAGUCACUCUGUAUCUCUGGGGCUUCCCUUUGCCCUACUUGCCUCACAGGGUCUGUGAAGUACAGAUUAAGUCGCUUCACUCACUUCACACGCUGGUUGCAGGGACCUCAAAGUGGGGUAUACACACUCCCGAGACGUACAGGGGAUACACUGGCAUGAAGGAGGAUGAUAUCAGAACUUCCAUUUAUACUUACUUUUAAUCUUGUUCUUGUUUGAAUCUCGUUCUAUCUUUGUCCUAUGUUUUACCAUAUAUUAAGAUAGCAUUACAUUAAGGUAAAUUACAAACCAACAAACGAAUGUAUGGAAAGUUGUGCUAAAAUUGUUUAUGGUUACAGUUAUGUGAUUUUUUAUCACAGUGGCCUCCACGAUAAGGUCUAACUUCUGUAGUGUGGGAUUUAAAUGCCCUGUGAACUCUCCAGUCUUAGUUCUUGCCCCACCUCUCCUUUUGCCUAAUUGAGCAAAUAUACCAGUAUGUUUCAUAGCUUCAUUGUCCUUGCUUAUUCUACUCCAUCUGCCUGAAAUUUCUAGGACCUUUCUCAGCUACUUGGAGAUCCCCUUACUCAUCUUUCAAGUCUCAGCAAAGGAGCUACCUCCUGGACAAGUUCUUUCCUGAACCUUCCAGGACUGUUUGAAAACUGAGUGAGGUGCCAACUUAGCUUCAAACUGCAUCUUCGGAUAAAAACUUCAGGUGUUUUUGAAUGGCCAAUGUGCCACUCUCCAGGCAGGAUCAGGGUGAUGCCCUGAGUAAAGUCUUCGAGCUGACCAGGAGAAAGAAACAGAAGAGCAAGCCCUGGCUCUGCAAACAUAAACCAACCCUCGGUGAAGGCAGUGCCAAAGGGACGGUUCUCUCCAGAAACCCUUGCUUUCAGCUAUUCAUCCACAGCUUUCUGCCAAAUCCAGGAGAAGUUAUAUUACAUUUGGUCAUUUAUUGGCCCUGAGGAAGGUCAAGUAACAAGAUGGAAAGCGACUUUGGCGAGGAAUUAUGUAUCCUGAGGUCUAACUUUGGCUCAGAAGAGACUGCAUGAUUUCGGGC